rnacentral:lncRNA from 1 species
UUAGAAAACUAAGUGUAAAGGCUCACAAUUUUUACUCAGAUUACGUUUUAAAGAAAGAUAGUAACUUUAGAUUUCAGCUUUUAGAAUUUAGAUUUUAGAGUGACUCCUUUCUACACUUACACAGUAUAAUUUAAAGAGAGAAUACAAGCUCAGCCUUUAGAACUAAAUGUUAUGGCUCACAAGAUUUAUGAAGUAUGUUUUGCUUUCUAUUGCUGUAUAUUUUAGUAUUUCAGAUAUUUCAGCUUAGGUGAGUCAUUUACAUUUAGCAUGUAUCAUUUACAAAUUAUGAUGAUUGAUAUUAUGUUUUACUUAUUAAUUCACCCCAUAUACUUAGUACAUCCUCAAAGUACUGAUCCACAUAUAUGUAUAUGUGCUACAUUGUCUCAUAAUGUAGGUAUCAAUUCAGUUGUAGCACUCAUACCAUAUUCAGACAGAUUGUAGCUUUCAGUCAACAGGUGAUAAGUCGUCUUGAUUCAAGGGCUCGAGUCAGUCAUAUAGUUUGAGUAGUAUUUCAUUUUAUUUAUUUAGUCGUAUUGAUUUGGGAUGGUUGGG